rnacentral:rRNA from 1 species
UGGGGAAUCUUGCACAAUGGAGGCAACUCUGAUGCAGCGACGCCGCGUGAGCGAUGAAGCCCUUCGGGUGUGAAAGCAUCUUUCGACGGGAAAGAUUAUGACGGUACCCGGAGAAGAAGCUGCGGCUAACUACGUGCCAGCAGCCGCGGUAAUACGUAGGCAGCGAGCGUUGUUCGGAAUUACUGGGCGUAAAGAGUGUGUAGGCGGUCUGAAUAGUCUGCUGUGAAAGCGCCUGGCUUAACCGGGCGAGGUCGGCGGAAACUCUCAGACUGGAGG